CAUGCUGGACAGCGGAAAGAACAGAACUGG
rnacentral:piRNA from 1 species